GUGCUUGUUUCAACAGCACAUAUACUAAAAUUGGAAUGAUACAGAGAUUAGCACAGCCCCUAUGCAAGAAUGACACACAAAUUCAUGAAGCAUUCCAUAUUUUU
ensembl:snRNA U6 U6 spliceosomal RNA